rnacentral:rRNA from 1 species
AUAACAACUGAUAGUACCUCAUGAAUAAGUGACAGCAAACUAUGUGCCAGCAGCUGCGGUAAUACAUAGGUCGCAAGCAUUAUUCGGAUUUAUUGGGCGUAAAGCAAGCGCAGGCGGAUGUGUAAGUUCUGUGUUAAAAGUAGCUACUUAAUAGUUGUUUGCACCGAAUACUACAUGUCUAGAAUGUGGUAGGAAGUUUUGGAAUUAAACAUGGAGCGGUGGAAUGUGUAGAUAUGUUUAAGAACACCGGAGGCGAAGGCGAAAACUUAGGCCAUAAUUGACGCUUAGGCUUGAAAGUGUGGGGAGCAAAUGGGAUUAGAUACCCCAGUAGUCCACACCGUAAACGAUGGGUAUUAGGUAUUGGGGUUUGAGCCUCAGUGCUGUAGCUAACGUGUUAAAUACCCCGCCUGGGUAGUACAUAUGCAAAUAUGAAACUCAAAGGAAUUGACGGGGACCUGAACAAGUGGUGGAGCAUGUUGCUUAAUUCGAUAAUACACGAAAAACCUUACCAAGGUUUGACAUCCUUCGCAAAGCUAUAGAAAUAUAGUAGAGGUUAUCGGAGUGACAGGUGGUGCAUGGCUGUCGUCAGCUCGUGUCUUGAGAUGUUUGGUUAAGUCCCGCAACGAGCGCAACCCUACUCUUUAGUUAUUUUUCUAAAGAGACUGCACAGUAAUGUAGAGGAAGGUUGGGAUCACGUCAAGUCAUCAUGCCCCUUAUGCCUUGGGCUGCAAACGUGCUACA